rnacentral:rRNA from 1 species
CCCUUAGAUGUCCUGGGCCGCACGCGCGUUACACUGAUGCAUUCAACGAGCUUAUAACCUUGGCCGAGAGGCCUGGGCAAUCUUGUUAACGUGCAUCGUGAUAGGGAUAGAUUAUUGAAAUUAUUAAUCUUGAACGAGGAAUUCCUAGUAAACGCAGAUCAUCAAUCUGCAUUGAUUACGUCCCUGCCCUUUGUACACACUGCCCGUCGCACCUACCGAUUGGAUGGUCCGGUGAAGCCUCGGGAUUGUGGUUCUUGCCGCUUUAUUGUGGCGUGACCGCGAGAACUUGUCUAAACCUUAUCAUCUAGAGGAAGGUGAAGUCGUAACA